GCGCUCUUGGCGUAGUGGUAGCGCGUGUCUCUCCUACUUUACCGAACGGAUUCCUGCGGGAUUCCUUUGUAGGACCUAUUAAAGACGAGGUCGUGGGUUCGACCCCCACAGGGCGCU
rfam:Pseudozyma antarctica DNA, scaffold: scaffold_v10013, strain JCM 10317, whole genome shotgun sequence.